UCCAGACUCCUACGGGAGGCAGCAGUCGGGAAUAUUGCACAAUGGAGGAAACUCUGAUGCAGUGACGCCGCGUGCAGGAAGAAGGUUUUCGGAUUGUAAACUGCUUUAGACAGGGAAGAAACAAGACAGUACCUGUAGAAUAAGCUCCGGCUAACUCCGUGCCAGCAGCCGCGGUAAUACGGAGGAUGCGAGCGUUAUCCGGAUUUAUUGGGUUUAAAGGGUGCGUAGGCGGACUGUUAAGUCAGCGGUAAAGGCCGGGGGCCCACCCCCGGCGAGCCGUUGAAACUGGCUGUCUUGAGAUGUCGAGAGGUAUGCGGAAUGCGCAGUGUAGCGGUGAAAUGCUUAGAUAUUGCGCAGAACUCCGAUUGCGAAGGCAGCAUACCGGCGGCGAUCUGACGCUGAGGCACGAAAGCGUGGGUAUCGAACAGGAUUAGAUACCCCAGUAAA
rnacentral:rRNA from 1 species